ensembl:snRNA U1 U1 spliceosomal RNA
AUACUUACCUGGCAGGGGAGAUACCAUGAUCACGAAGGUGGUUUUCCCAGGGCGAGGCUUAUCCAUUGCACUCCGGAUGUGCUGACCCCUGCGAUUUCCUCAAACGUGGGAAACUCGACUGCAUAAUUUGUGGCAGUGAGGGACUGCGUUCCCUCUCUUCCCUG